CGCACAUGUACUUGUGUUUUGAUUUUGUGAUGGAGGAUGGGAAGGCGACCACUGGGCAGCUGUGUCUCAAGUCAAAUCUUUAGGGAUUCAAGUCUCAACUCAAGAAGCCCUCAGUUUUCUGUAAGUCCUUUAUUGGCGCUGCAAUGCCUUGGUGGUCCGCACUACAGGACCAUACUGGGGUUCUUUCAUCCGUGCAUGUAAGUAACCUGAAUAAAUACACAAAUAUUCAUCAAAUAAAUCAACAUUGAUAAUGACUACAAACAGGUUUAAUCGUGUUUGUGUGUGAAUAUUGUAAUCAUAGUGGUGUUGUGAAGGAAAGCAGAAGCAGCUGAUCAAACGGAUAUGCAACAUGUAUAUAAUGAAAGAAUGAUGAUUGAUGAUAAUCAACCAAAAUAAACUCUCUGCUCCACUUCACUGCUCUGCUCUACACAGCCUUUUCACACACUCUCCACCGAGUGUUGCUUAACGAGUGAGUGACAACAGGCCCGGAUGAGGGUUUUCCACUGCAUAAACCUUUAAUCCUCACUGGUGGCUCCUGUAGGCCAGUGGUUCUCAACCUUUUUGGGACCCCCAAAUCCCCAUCUGAUAAGAUCUAUAUCGUAGAUUGGCAGAUAAACAGUGAAGUAUGUGAAACCUAUGGCCAGUCAUUCAUACAUUCUCUUAUUGAGCUAACUUCCAGUCAAUAGUGAAAAAUAUUAUAUGUAAUAUUUCCACAUUAAAAUGUCUAUAAAACACUA